AGAGCGAACGCUGGCGGCAGGCCUAAAACAUGCAAGUCGAACGCCGUAGCAAUACGGAGUGGCAGACGGGUGAGUAACACGUGGGAACAUACCCUUUGGUUCGGAACAACACAGGGAAACUUGUGCUAAUACCGGAUAAGCCCUUACGGGGAAAGAUUUAUCGCCGAAGGAUUGGCCCGCGUCUGAUUAGCUAGUUGGUGGGGUAACGGCCCACCAAGGCUACGAUCAGUAGCUGGUCUGAGAGGAUGAUCAGCCACACUGGGACUGAGACACGGCCCAGACUCCUACGGGAGGCAGCAGUUAGGAAUCUUGGACAAUGGGCGCAAGCCUGAUCCAGCCAUGCCGCGUGAGUGAUGAAGGCCUUAGGGUUGUAAAGCUCUUUCAGCGGGGAAGAUAAUGACGGUACCCGCAGAAGAAGCCCGGCUAACUUCGCGCCAGCAGCC
rnacentral:rRNA from 1 species